GCUCUGGCUUCCCUUCAAAACGCAUAAAUCUUUCGCCUUUUAUUAAAGAUUUCCGAGGACCUCAGGUUUGUAUAGUUAGGAAAUAUGCAAUUUUCGACAAAUCGUCAUAUUUUACUGUAU